GCCACUUUAGCUUAGUGGUAGAGCGUCUGCUUCGUAAGCAGAAGGUCGU
rfam:Perkinsus marinus ATCC 50983 gcontig_1104296267738, whole genome shotgun sequence.